rnacentral:rRNA from 1 species
UCCUGCUCUGGGGGGUUUCCUUCGGGGUGGGGGUGGUUGUUGUUUGGUUGUGCAAUUUUGUUGUUUGAACACAUUUUUGGUUUUUGUGUUUGUAAGUGAAUCAGGGCGCAUGGUGGAUGCCU